AUUGAACGCUGGCGGCAGGCUUAACACAUGCAAGUCGAACGGUAACAUAAAGAAGCUUGCUUCUUUGAUGACGAGUGGCGGACGGGUGAGUAAUGCUUGGGAAUCUAGCUUAUGGAGGGGGAUAACUACGGGAAACUGUAGCUAAUACCGCGUAGAAUCGGGAGAUGAAAGUGUGGGACCUUCGGGCCACAUGCCAUAGGAUGAGCCCAAGUGGGAUUAGGUAGUUGGUGAGGUAAAGGCUCACCAAGCCGACGAUCUCUAGCUGGUCUGAGAGGAUGACCAGCCACACUGGGACUGAGACACGGCCCAGACUCCUACGGGAGGCAGCAGUGGGGAAUAUUGCGCAAUGGGGGCAACCCUGACGCAGCCAUGCCGCGUGAAUGAAGAAGGCCUUCGGGUUGUAAAGUUCUUUCGGUAGCGAGGAAGGCAUUUAGUUUAAUAGACUAGGUGAUUGAC
rnacentral:rRNA from 1 species